GCCUUCGUGGCUCAGCGGUUAGAGCGUCCUCUGUGAUUGUAGUGACUUGGAAUCAGUAGCAUAUGAGGAAGGCGUGGGUUCGACUCCCGCCGAGGGCA